AUACGUAGGGGGCGAGCGUUGUCCGGAAUGAUUGGGCGUAAAGGGCGCGUAGGCGGCCCGGUAAGUCUGGAGUGAAAGUCCUGCUUUUAAGGUGGGAAUUGCUUUGGAUACUGUCGGGCUUGAGUGCAGGAGAGGUAAGUGGAAUUCCCAGUGUAGCGGUGAAAUGCGUAGAGAUUGGGAGGAACACCAGUGGCGAAGGCGACUUACUGGACUGUAACUGACGCUGAGGCGCGAAAGUGUGGGGAGCAAACAGGAUUAGAUACCCUGGUGGUCCACACUGUAAACGAUGAAUGCUAGGUGUAGGGGGUAUCGACCCCUUCUGUGCCGCAGUAAACACAAUAAGCAUUCCGCCUGGGGAGUACGGCCGCAAGGUUAAAACUCAAAGGAAUUGACGGGG
rnacentral:rRNA from 1 species